CCUACGGGUGGCUGCAGUGGGGAAUAUUGGGCAAUGGGCGCAAGCCUGACCCAGCAAAACCGCGUGAGUGAAGAAGGUCUUCGGAUUGUAAAGCUCUUUGAUCAGGGACGAACAGAUGACGGUACCUGAAGAACAAGCCCCGGCUAACUAAGUGCCAGCAGCCGCGGUAAAACGUAGGGGGCGAGCGUUGUCCGGAAUGACUGGGCGUAAAGGGUGUGUAGGCGGCAUAAUAAGUUAGACGUGAAAGGCGGGGGCGCAACCUCCGGACUGCUUUGGAAACUGUAUGGCUUGAGUGCAGGAGAGGUAGGUGGAAUUCCUGGUGUAGCGGUGAAAUGCGUAGAUAUUAGGAGGAACCCCAGUGGCGAAGGCGGCUUACUGGACUGUAACUGACGUUGAGGCUCGAAAGCGUGGGGAGCAAACAGGAUUAGAUACCCGUGUAGUC
rnacentral:rRNA from 1 species